rnacentral:rRNA from 1 species
GGGGUAACGGGGUGCUUUCCCUGACAAGUCGACGGCGGCGCGAGAGAGCUUGCUCUCUGGGCGGCGAGUGGCGGAUGGGUGAGUAAUAUAUCGGAACGUGCCCAGGAGCGGGGGAUAACUACUCGAAAGAGUGGCUAAUCCGCCACGCCCUACGGGGGAAAGGGGGGGAUCGCAUGACCUCUCACUAUGGGAGCGGCCGAUCUCGGAUUAGCUAGUUGGUGGGGUAAAGGCUCACCAAGGCAACGAUCCCUAGCUGGUUUGAGAGGACCACCAGCCGCACUGGGACUGAGACACGGCCCACACUCCUACGGGAGGCACCAUUGGGGAAUUUUGGACAAUGGGGGAAACCCUGAUCCAGCCAUCCCGCGUGUAUGAUGAAGGCCUUCGGGUUGUAAAGUACUUUUGGCAGAGAAGAAAAGGUAUCCCCUAAUACGGGAUACUGCUGACGGUAUCUGCAGAAUAAGCACCGGCUAACUACUUGCCAGCAGCCGCGGUAAUACGUACGGUGCAAGCGUUAAUCGGAAUUACUGGGCGUAAAGCGUGUGUAGGCGGUUCGGAAAGAAAGAUGUGAAAUCCCAGGGCUCAACCUUGGAACUGCAUUUUUAACUGCCGAGCUCCAGUAUGUCAGAGGGGGGUAGAAUUCCACGUGUAGCACUGAAAUGCGUAGAUGUGUGGAGGAAUACCGAUGGCGAACGCAGCCCCCUGGGAUAAUACUGACGCUCAGACACGAAUGCGUGGGGAGCAAACAGGAUUAGAUACCCUGGUAGUCCACGCCCUAAACGAUGUCAACUAGCUCUUGGGGCCGUUAGGCCUUAGUAGCGCAGCUACGCGUGAAGUUGACCGCCUGGGGAGUACGGUCGCAAGAUUAAAACUCAAGGAAUUGACGCGGACCCGCACAAGCGGUGGAUGAUGUGUAUUAAUUCGAUGCAACGCGUAAUACCUUACC